rnacentral:tRNA from 1 species
GGGCAUAUGGCGCAAUGGAAACGCACCAGACUUCGAAUCUGGGGAUUGCAGGUUCGAACCCUGCUAUGCUCG